rnacentral:pre_miRNA from 1 species
UAUAUACUCCCUCCGUUCCAAAUUACUCGUCGCAGAAAUGGAUGUAUCUAGAACUAAAAUACAUCUAGAUACAUCCAUACCCGCGACAAGUAAUUUGGAACGGAGGGAGUACUAG